GCAGCGCCGAAAGAGCAAAUUUGUUCACUUUUGUACGAACAAGCGCCGCAGCGUCACGAGUUUCUUCAUACAAACGUAAAAAAAUUGGUCUUUCAGCGCUGCUGCUUUUACAGUAAACUAUAUUAUGGAGGACCCAUACACACGCUAAAGUAUUAUGUCUUAGUUUUGUUAUACCUUGCAUUUAAAUAAGACUCAUGGAGCAUUAAA